rnacentral:rRNA from 1 species
AGAGUUUGAUCAUGGCUCAGGACGAACGCUGGCGGCGUGCCUAAUACAUGCAAGUCGAGCGCGGGAAGCUCAUCAAUCAUCCUUCGGGGUGACUGUUGAGUGGAACGAGCGGCGGAUGGGUGAGUAACACGUGGGCAACCUGCCUGUAAGCUUGGGAUAACUCGUGGAAACGCGAGCUAAUACCGAAUGAAAAGUUUGUUCGCAUGAACAGACGAUGAAAGAUGGCUUUUGCUGUCACUUACAGAUGGGCCCGCGUCGCAUUAGCUAGUUGGUGGGGUAAAAGCUCACCAAAGCAACGAUGCGUAGCCGACCUGAGAGGGUGAUCGGCCACACUGGGACUGAGACACGGCCCAGACUCCUACGGGAGGCAGCAGUAGGGAAUCUUCCGCAAUGGACGAAAGUCUGACGGAGCGACGCCGCGUGAGUGAUGAAGGUCUUCGGAUCGUAAAACUCUGUUGUCGGGGAAGAACAAGUAUCGGCCUAAUACGCCGGUACCUUGACGGUACCUGAUUAGAAAGCCCCGGCUAACUACGUGCCAGCAGCCGCGGUAAUACGUAGGGGGCGAGCGUUGUCCGGAAUUAUUGGGCGUAAAGCGCGCGCAGGCGGUCUUUUAAGUCUGAUGUGAAAUCUUACGGCUAACCGUAAGCGGUCAUUGGAAACUGGGAGACUUGAGUGCAGAGAAGAGAGUGGAUUCCACGUGUAGCGGUGAAUGCGUA